AAAACCUUAGGUUAAUAUUAAACCAUCAGCCUUCAAAGCUAAAAAUAGGGAGAUAAUCCUAGGUUUUG
rnacentral:tRNA from 1 species